rnacentral:rRNA from 1 species
UACAGAGGCCUCGAGCGUUAAUCGGAAUCACUGGGCUUAAAGGGUGCGUAGGCGGCGCUGCAAGUGCCUUGUGAAAUCCCAUCGCUUAACGAUGGAACUGCUCGGUAGACUGCAGUGCUUGAGGUUGGUAGGGGCUGCCGGAACUCUAGGUGGAGCGGUGAAAUGCGUAGAUAUCUAGAGGAACGCCCAAGGCGAAGGCAGGCAGCUGGGCCAAUUCUGACGCUGAGGCACGAAAGCGUGGGGAGCAAACGGGG